rnacentral:rRNA from 1 species
AUUGAACGCUGGCGGCAGGCCUAACACAUGCAAGUCGAAUGGUAACAGGAAACAGCUUGCUGUUUCGCUGACGAGUGGCGGACGGGUGUGUCAUGUCUGGGAAACUGCCUGAUGGAGGGGGAUAACUACUGGAAACGGUAUCUAAUACCGCAUAACGUCGCAAGACCAAAGAGGGGGACCUUCGGGCCUCUUGCCAUCAGAUGUGCCCAGAUGAGAUUAGCUAGUAGGUGGGGUAACGGCUCACCUAGCCGACGAUCCCUAACUGGUUUGAGAGGCAGACGCGCCACACUGGAAAUAAGACACGGUCUAGUCUCCUGCGGGAGGCUGAAGUGGGGAAUAUUGCACAAUGGGCGCAAGACUGAUGCAUCCAUUCCGCUCGUAUGUAGAAGGCUGUCGGGUUGUAUAGUCUUUACAGAGGGGAGGAAGGAUGUAAAGUUAAUACCGCUGCUCAUUGACGUGACCCGCAGAAGAAGCACCGGCCAACUCCGUG